AUUCCGGCCACCCGGAAGUCCCGCUGGCCACCCAGCCGGACCUCUCCGGGCUCAGAGAGCGCUCUCCUUUGUGGGGCUGUCUCACCUUGGCGAGGGCCUUAGUUUCAGAGUCUCCCCUUUCACCCUUUCCACUCGAAGUCCAUAAAACCCAAUUGAUUUAUUUAGUAGAGAGCGGCCAAGAAAAAGGCCCAGGAAAAAUGUCGCACCCAGAUGCAAGCACCAUUACCAUUUUAUGGGUACCUUUUAUCUCACAAUCUCCACCUCCCCCCAUUUCCCCGGAUAUCACCGGAAGGAGGAAGACCCACCGGCCCACAGCCCCCAAGGGUCCCGGGGUCCAAGGCAGGACCCUAAGUGACCAGCGCCCAGAUACAGCCCUGCAGAACCCGGCCUUUAGGGAAACUGUCAUCCUCUGGCAGGAAAUCUCAACUACCACAAGCCCCACUGAUUCCUCGAGGUUUCCUGGCUCAGACCGUGGUGGGUUCCCAUGGAAACGUCAGUAACCAAGCAGAAUCAGAACCUAAAUCUACUAACCAGGCCCUUGUAGCUCCUUCAGGGUGACUUGUGGUUUAAAAAAAAAAAGCAAUCACAAUAAAGUCAAGGAAAGGGGGCUAGAGGAUGGGGUGGGAGGAGGGCAGUCCACCUGUAGCUCCCUGAACAGAAACCUCUUCUCCUGUACCAUGUCCCCCAACUCACAGAUGGGCCAUUCCCACCAGGGCAGCUCUUCUAUCAACCACCUCUUUCCUGAUGAACCCACCCUGCCCCAGACAGGCCCAGCCAGAAUGCCCCUUCCUCUAGGCUUGGGCUCCACCAAUCUCCUAAAGCCUCUCUUCCUUCUGGUCCUGGCCCAGAGGCUGCCCGUUCCAGGAAACCUUCCCUGAUCCUCACAGACCCUUCACAGAUCGUUCUGGAAGAGCAUCCUAGAUGCAUCCUGUUCGGAAAAGACUUUCAGCCUGGGAGAAAGUGAAGGGCCUCCUGCUGAGAAGGAACUGGAGAGAAGGAUGCUGAGGGAAGAUCUUUCAGGGAGAGGAAAGCACCAACCAAGAAUUCUUUUGAGCUACAAUUAAGAUAAAUAAAGCUUCCUCACCACUUAA